CUUUCCCAUAGAAGCUGCCCAUCAGACCAAUGAAGAAGCCACAGGACAACACAUUCUAUUCAAGGAGGGAACAUCAAGGAGGCAAAGAUGGUCAACAUUCCUAGAGGCAACCAUUCUUUGCUUUCAAUGGGACAGAAGAGCUCCUUGGCACUGGAAGCCUCCUGGUCUGGUGAGGGAGGAAGGAGGGACUGUUCUGGGGACACAUGGGCAUCAUCCCACUUUCUACAUUCAGACUGAGGACGGAGCUUGGGCCGCGGCUUUGGAUUCUCAUUACCUCGGGGUGGUCUGCCUGUGAGCGAAGCACAGGAGGGCCACCAGGAAACAUUUUCCAUCCUCCAAAAAUCAUGGAUUGUUUUGCUAUUCCUGGUAUUACAUUAACAUGAGAUGAAGCUUUCUUCUCAUAAUUAGGUAUACACUUAAAAUGCAAAUCCU